rnacentral:rRNA from 1 species
GACGAACGCUGGCGGCGUGCCUAAUACAUGCAAGUAGAACGCUGAAGGAGGAGCUUGCUUCUCCGGAUGAGUUGCGAACGGGUGAGUAACGCGUAGGUAACCUGCCUGGUAGCGGGGGAUAACUAUUGGAAACGAUAGCUAAUACCGCAUAAGAGUAGAUGUUGCAUGACAUUUACUUAAAAGGUGCAAUUGCACCACUACCAGAUGGACCUGCGUUGUAUUAGCUAGUUGGUGGGGUAACGGCUCACCAAGGCGACGAUACAUAGCCGACCUGAGAGGGUGAUCGGCCACACUGGGACUGAGACACGGCCCAGACUCCUACGGGAGGCAGCAGUAGGGAAUCUUCGGCAAUGGACGAAAGUCUGACCGAGCAACGCCGCGUGAGUGAAGAAGGUUUUCGGAUCGUAAAGCUCUGUUGUAAGAGAAGAACGAGUGUGAGAGUGGAAAGUUCACACUGUGACGGUAUCUUACCAGAAAGGGACGGCUAACUACGUGC